UAGGUUGACCAACCAUCCUGGUUUGCCUGGGACUUAGCAGCUCCUGGGAUAUGGGACUUUGAGGGCUAAAGCCAGGAAUGUC
ensembl:miRNA